rnacentral:rRNA from 1 species
AUCCUGGCUACAGAACGAACGCUGGCGGCAGGCCUAACACAUGCAAGUCGAGCGCGCCCUUUCGGGGGUGAGCGGCGGACGGGUGAGUAACGCGUGGGAACGUGCCCUUUGCUACGGAAUAGUCUCGGGAAACUGGGGGUAAUACCGUAUGAGCCCUUCGGGGGAAAAGAUUUAUCGGCAAAGGAUCGGCCCGCGUUGGAUUAGGUAGUUGGUGGGGUAAUGGCCCACCAAGCCGACGAUCCAUAGCUGGUUUGAGAGGAUGAUCAGCCACACUGGGACUGAGACACGGCCCAGACUCCUACGGGAGGCAGCAGUGGGGAAUCUUAGACAAUGGGCGCAAGCCUGAUCUAGCCAUGCCGCGUGAGCGAUGAAGGCCUUAGGGUUGUAAAGCUCUUCGUGGGGGAAGAUAAUGACUGUACCCCAAGAAGAAGCCCCGGCUAACUCCGUG